rnacentral:rRNA from 1 species
UGGCCAAACUACCCUUCGGAGCACCAUACCCUCGGGAAACUGAGGCUAAUAGUGCAUCCCGCACUCACCCUGGAAUGGCGAGUGCGUCAAACGCUCCGGCGCCGAAGGAUGUGGCUGCGGCCGAUUAGGUAGACGGUGGGGUAACGGCCCACCGUGCCGAUAAUCGGUACGGGUCAUGAGAGUGAGAACCCGGAGACGGAAUCUGAGACAAGAUUCCGGGCCCUACGGGGCGCAGCAGGCGCGAAACCUUUACACUGCACGACAGUGCGAUAAGGGGAUCCCAAGUGCACAGGCAUAGAGCCUGUGCUUUUGUACACCCUAGGGAGGUGUCCGAAUAAGGGCUGGGCAAGACCGGUGCCAGCCGCCGCGGUAAUACCGGCAGCCCGAGUGAUGGCCGAUCUUAUUGGGCCUAAAGCGUCCGUAGCUGGCCGCGCAAGUCCAUCGGGAAAUCCACCUGCUCAACGGGUGGACGUCCGGUGGAAACUGCACGGCUUGGGACCGGAAGGCGCGACGGGUACGUCCGGGGUAGGAGUGAAAUCCCGUAAUCCUGGACGGACCGCCGAUGGCGAAAGCACGUCGCGAGAACGGAUCCGACAGUGAGGGACGAAAGCUAGGGUCUCGAACCGGAUUAGAUACCCGGGUAGUCCUAGCCGUAAACAAUGCUGCUAGGUGUGGCUCCCACUACGAGUGGGUGCUGUGCCGUAGGGAAGCCGCUAAGCAGGCCGCCUGGGAAGUACGUCCGCAAGGAUGAAACUUAAAGGAAUUGGCGGGGGAGCACUACAACCGGAGGAGCCUGCGGUUUAAUUGGACUCAACGCCGGACAUCUCACCAGCAUCGACUGUGGUAAUGACGGUCAGGUUGAUGACCUCGCCACGAGCCACAGAGAGGAGGUGCAUGGCCGCCGUCAGCUCGUACCGUGAGGCGUCCUGUUAAGUCAGGCAACGAGCGAGACCCGCAUCCGUACUUGCCAGCAACACUGCGAAGUGGUUGGGGACAGUACGGAGACUGCCGUGGCCAACACGGAGGAAGGAACGGGCAACGGUAGGUCAGUAUGCCCCGAAUGUGCUGGGCAACACGCGGGCUACAAUGGUCAGGACAAAGGGUUCCUACUCCGAAAGGAGACGGUAAUCUCAGAAACCUGAUCGUAGUUCGGAUUGUGGGCUGCAACUCGCCCACAUGAAGCUGGAUUCGGUAGUAAUCGCGUGUCACAAGCGCGCGGUGAAUACGUCCCUGCUCCUUGCACACACCGCCCGUCAAAGCA